UACGUAGGAGGCGAGCGUUGUCCGGAAUUACUGGGCGUAAAGAGCGCGUAGGCGGCACGGUACGACCGGUGUGAAAGCCCCCGGCUCAACUGGGGAGGGUCACCGGUAACGGCCGAGCUAUGAGUGCAGGAGAGGGAAGUGGAACUCCGGGAGUAGCGGUGAAAUGCGUAGAGACCCGGAGGAACACCAGUGGCGAAGGCGGCUUCCUGGUCUGCAACUGACGCUGAGGUGCGAAAGCGUGGGGAGCUAACAGG
rnacentral:rRNA from 1 species